AGUGCUCAUGCAUUGCAUGGGCUGUUCUUUGGUCUAAGUAACCAGAGGAGUAAGGGCUGGGCAAGACCGGUGCCAGCCGCCGCGGUAAUACCGGCAGCUCAAGUGGUAGCCGCGAUUAUUGGGCCUAAAGCGUUCGUAGCCGGAUAAGUAAGUCUUUGGUUAAAUCCUGCAACUUAACUGUGGGAAGUCUAGAGAUACUGCUUGUCUUGAGACCGGGAGAGGUUGGAGGCACUCCCAGGGUAGGGGUGAAAUCCUGUAAUCCUGGGGGGACCACCUGUGGCGAAGGCGUCCAACUGGAACGGGUCUGACGGUGAGGGACGAAACCUAGGGGAGCGAGCCGGAUUAGAUACCCGGGUAGUCCUAGGCGUAAAUGAUGCGAGUUAAGUGUGGGGGCAUCUACGAGAUGGCCCUGUGCUGUAGGGUAGCCGUUAAACUCGCCGCCUGGGGAGUACGGUCGCAAGGCUGAAACU
rnacentral:rRNA from 1 species